GACGAACGCUGGCGGCGUGCUUAACACAUGCAAGUCGAACGGAAAGGCCCUGCUUUUGUGGGGUGCUCGAGUGGCGAACGGGUGAGUAACACGUGAGUAACCUGCCCUUGACUUUGGGAUAACUUCAGGAAACUGGGGCUAAUACCGGAUAGGAGCUCCUGCUGCAUGGAGGGGGUUGGAAAGUUUCGGCGGUUGGGGAUGGACUCGCGGCUUAUCAGCUUGUUGGUGGGGUAGUGGCUUACCAAGGCUUUGACCGGUAGCCGGCCUGAGGGGGUGAACGGCGACAUUGGGACUGAGGUACGGACCAGAGUGCUACGGGAGGCAGCAGUGGGGAAUAUUGCACAAUGGGCGGAAGUCUGAGGCAGCAACGCCGCGUGCGGGAUGACGGCCUGCGGGUUGUGAACCGCUUUCGCCUGUGACGAAGCGUGAGUGACGGUAAUGGGUAAAGAAGCACCGGCUAACUACGUG
rnacentral:rRNA from 1 species